CAGCAGCCGCGGGAAUACGUAGGGUGCAAGCGUUGUCCAGAAUUAUUGGGCGUAAAGAGCUCGUAGGCGGUUUGUCGCGUCUGCUGUGAAAUCCCGAGGCUCAACCUCGGGCUUGCAGUGGGUACGGGCAGACUAGAGUGCGGUAGGGGAGAUUGGAAUUCCUGGUGUAGCGGUGGAAUGCGCAGAUAUCAGGAGGAACACCGAUGGCGAAGGCAGAUCUCUGGGCCGUAACUGACGCUGAGGAGCGAAAGCGUGGGGAGCGAACAGGAUUAGAUACCCGUGUAGUCCCUGUCUCUUAUAC
rnacentral:rRNA from 1 species